rnacentral:rRNA from 1 species
AGUGAACGCUGGCGGUAGGCCUAACACAUGCAAGUCGAACGGCAGCACAGGAGAGCUUGCUCUCUGGGUGGCGAGUGGCGGACGGGUGAGGAAUACAUCGGAAUCUACUCUGUCGUGGGGGAUAACGUAGGGAAACUUACGCUAAUACCGCAUUCGACCUACGGGUGAAAGCAGGGGAUCUUCGGACCUUGCGCGAUUGAAUGAGCCGAUGUCGGAUUAGCUAGUUGGCGGGGUAAAGGCCCACCAAGGCGACGAUCCGUAGCUGGUCUGAGAGGAUGAUCAGCCACACUGGAACUGAGACACGGUCCAGACUCCUACGGGAGGCAGCAGUGGGGAAUAUUGGACAAUGGGCGCAAGCCUGAUCCAGCCAUACCGCGUGGGUGAAGAAGGCCUUCGGGUUGUAAAGCCCUUUUGUUGGGAAAGAAAUCCAGCUGGCUAAUACCCGGUUGGGAUGACGGUACCCAAAGAAUAAGCACCGGCUAACUUCGUGCCAGCCGCCGCAGUAACAC